GACGAACGCUGGCGGCGUGCUUAACACAUGCAAGUCGAACGGAAAGGCCCUGCUUUUGUGGGGUGCUCGAGUGGCGAACGGGUGAGUAACACGUGAGUAACCUGCCCUUGACUUUGGGAUAACUUCAGGAAACUGGGGCUAAUACCGGAUAGGAGCUCCUGCUGCAUGGUGGGGGUUGGAAAGUUUCGGCGGUUGGGGAUGGACUCGCGGCUUAUCAGCUUGUUGGUGGGGUAGUGGCUUACCAAGGCUUUGACGGGUAGCCGGCCUGAGAGGGUGACCGGCCACAUUGGGACUGAGAUACGGCCCAGACUCCUACGGGAGGCAGCAGUGGGAAAUAUUGCACAAUGGGCGGAAGCCUGAUGCAGCAACGCCGCGUGCGGGAGGACGGCCUUCGGGUUGUAAACCGCUUUCGCCUGUGACGAAGCGUGAGUGACGGUAAUGGGUAAAGAAGCACCGGCUAACUACGUGCCAGCAGCCGCGGUGAUACGUAGGGUGCGAGCGUUGUCCGGAUUUAUUGGGCGUAAAGGGCUCGUAGGUGGUUGAUCGCGUCGGAAGUGUAAUCUUGGGGCUUAACCCUGAGCGUGCUUUCGAUACGGGUUGACUUGAGGAAGGUAGGGGAGAAUGGAAUUCCUGGUGGAGCGGUGGAAUGCGCAGAUAUCAGGAGGAACACCAGUGGCGAAGGCGGUUCUCUGGGCCUUUCCUGACGCUGAGGAGCGAAAGCGUGGGGAGCGAACAGGCUUAGAUACCCUGGUAGUCCACGCUGUAAACGGUGGGUACUAGGUGUGGGGUCCAUUCCACGGGUUCCGUGCCGUAGCUAACGCUUUAAGUACCCCGCCUGGGGAGUACGGCCGCAAGGCUAAAACUCAAAGGAAUUGACGGGGCCCCGCACAAGCGGCGGAGCAUGCGGAUUAAUUCGAUGCAACGCGUAGAACCUUACCUGGGUUUGACAUGGAUCGGGAGCGCUCAGAGAUGGGUGUGCCUCUUUUGGGGUCGGUUCACAGGUGGUGCAUGGCUGUCGUCAGCUCGUGUCGUGAGAUGUUGGGUUAAGUCCCGCAACGAGCGCAACCCUUGUUCACUGUUGCCAGCACGUUAUGGUGGGGACUCAGUGGAGACCGCCGGGGUCAACUCGGAGGAAGGUGGGGAUGACGUCAAGUCAUCAUGCCCCUUAUGUCCAGGGCUUCACGCAUGCUACAAUGGCUGGUACAGAGAGUGGCGAGCCUGUGAGGGUGAGCGAAUCUCGGAAAGCCGGUCUCAGUUCGGAUUGGGGUUUGCAACUCGACCUCAUGAAGUCGGAGUCGCUAGUAAUCGCAGAUCAGCAACGCUGCGGUGAAUACGUUCCCGGG
rnacentral:rRNA from 1 species